GAUGAACGCUAGCGGCAGGCUUAAUACAUGCAAGUCGAGGGGCAGCAUGACUGUAGCAAUACAGUUGAUGGCGACCGGCAAACGGGUGCGGAACACGUACAGAACCUUCCUUCGAGCGGGGAAUAGCCCAGAGAAAUUUGGAUUAAUACCCCAUAGUACAACGGAGUGGCAUCACUUUGUUGGUAAAGAUUUAUCACUUGAAGAUGGCUGUGCGGCUGAUUAGGUAGUUGGCGGGGUAACGGCCCACCAAGCCUGCGAUCAGUAACUGGUGUGAGAGCACGACCAGUCAAACGGGCACUGAGACACGGGCCCGACUCCUACGGGAGGCAGCAGUAAGGAAUAUUGGUCAAUGGAUGAAAGUCUGAACCAGCCAUGCCGCGUGGAGGAUGAGGGUCCUCUGGAUUGUAAACUUCUUUUAUAUGGGACGAAAAAAGGGUUUUCUAACUCGUCUGACGGUACCAUAUGAAUAAGCACCGGCUAACUCCGUGCCAGCCGCCGCAGUAAAAC
rnacentral:rRNA from 1 species